rnacentral:tRNA from 1 species
GGUUCCAUAGUGUAGCGGUUAACAUGUCUUGCUUUACAAACAGAAGGUCCUGGGUUCACACCCCAGUGGAGCCU